rnacentral:misc_RNA from 1 species
GAUGAAGAACGUAGUGAAAUGCGAUACUUGGUGUGAAUUGCAGAAUCCCGUGAACCAUCGAGUCUUUGAACGCAAGUUGCGCCUCAAGCCAUUAGGUUGAGGGCACGUCUGCCUGGGCGUCACAUAUCGUUGCCUGAUGCCAGUUUCCUCGUGAUGGGUGACUGUGCAGGGCGAAUGAUGGCUUCCCGUGAGCAUUGUUGCCUCAUGGUUGGUUGAAAAUUGAGUCCUUGGUAGGGAGCGCCGUGAUAGAUGGUGGUUGAGUGACGAACGAGACCCAAUCAUGUGAGACCCCUACCGAAUUUGGCCUUCAUGACCCACAUGCGUCUUUGGAACGCUCAUGACGAGACCUCAGGUCAGGCGGGGCUACCCGCUGAAUUUAAGCAUAUCAAUAAGCGGAGGA